GAAAUGUAGGACUAACGAUUAGCAAAUUAAAAUGCCACAUGAAGUUAUUAUAUUUAAAAGGGUAAAUUAUAAUUUACUACCACGUAAUUUAACAAUAACCCAUUAAUCUCAUAAUUAGGAAACGUAGAAUUAGAGUUGAUGAAGCAAGUGGUAUGUAGAGAGUAGCCAUGGGUAGCCAUAGUGGUGCUUCAACUAACCUUUAUCUGGUUGUGCAUGCUCUCCCACUAUAACACUGUUAAGCUUUUAACAACUUCAACUUGCUAUAUUUGAUUAUGUGGGUCUUUAAUAUCUCGCAAAACCAUGCGCACCACUUCUCUGCCAACUUCAACAGAGAGAUAGAGUCCAUUGCAAGUUGCAACAUAAACCCACUUGCUGCCUGAAUUUGGUUCUUUGAUUUGUUUAUACAGCACUAUGGGCUGUGUUGGUCUAUGUUAUGUGAAAUUUUGUCUUGUACCUCAGCUCUCAAUCUGUAUAUAAAAGGCUCAACAUGUGGUUAUAGUAAUCAUAUCAGUACAGGUUUGUGAAUUGUGUAGUCAUCAAGCCAUGAAGCCUUUCUACUUAUGUCUCUGUCUCUUAACUUUGCUUCUAUUGGCUUCCACAGCGGAAAUGAGGGAAGUGAAAACAGAGGAUGGAGGAAGGUGCUUUCAAGUGAUGGACCCAGAUGGAUGCAAUCUCUCAUCUUGCAGACAGCGUUGUCUUCAGCUCAAGAAUGGGAAUGGUGUGUGUGUUUCCAACCUGAAGGAGGGCAAUUAUCAAUGUGUUUGUUACAUCAACUGUUGAACGUACUCCACCUUCUUGUGAUUUUCUUGUCUUAAAUGGCGUGUUUCAAGUCUCAGUCAUAUCCACUGUGUGUGUAGUAAUAAUCAUAAUGUGUUCCGUGGGAAUAUUAUUUAUAUGAGUACGUAAUAAAAUUCAAAAGAUGUAAUGAGUUCAUGCAUCUUAUUAAAUAUU